rnacentral:lncRNA from 1 species
CCCACUCCUGCCGCAGGGCCCCGCCGCGGCCGCGCUCAGGGGACGGCGAGCGGCUGUCGGGAGGGAAAGUGGGGCAAGGCGGGCGCGUUUGGGGGUCGGCCCCGCACGCCAGCGGCUGAAACUUUUGGCGGUGGUAGGGGCGUCGGUUCGGGACGCGAGCUGCGAGCUGUGCGCUGCGGCCCAGGCGAUGGGCGCUCUCCCCGCGGUGCGGGACGCCCCGGGGACACCGCCGCGCACACCUGCGGACCUGGUGGCGGGCACGGGCGGCUGAGCAAUGUUUAUUCGGGACGGGCGGCCUGUGCCGUCUGUGGCUGCCCUCAUCCUAGCAUCACAUGCGCUAGCGCUCCCCAGCCAGCCUGCUCUAGCAGCGAAGUGGGGAUGCAGCAAGAACACCUGAGCAAUGACUUCUGAUGAGAAAGUAGGAAAUGUGAGCUUUCACAGUAGCCAUCACGGUCAAGCUUUUCUUUUCACAGGGGUAAUAUUCAAUUAGGAAAUUCCUAUUGAGCAGAGGGGGAAACCAGCAGGCAAGGAGUCAAAAUCUCUGCAAUCAGCACUGAUAAAGGACUGUUAUUUUGGGAUAAGAAGAAUUGGUAUAAAAAGAAAAAGCAUAAAAGGCUGCAGCAGGAGGCCUGAAAUGGGCGCUGAGUACUCUCCUUACUCA